AUUGAACGCUGGCGGCAGGCCUAACACAUGCAAGUCGAGCGGAGCGGCGGACGGGUGCGUAAUGCCUAGGAAUCUGCCUGGUUGUGGGGGAUAACGUCCGGAAACGGGCGCUAAUACCGCAUACUAUCAGACGACCCUAGGUCGGAUUAGCUAGUUGGUGGGGUAAAGGCCUACCAAGGCGACGAUCAGUAACUGGUCUGAGAGGAUGAUCAGUCACACUGGAACGGAGACAUGGUCCAGACUCAGACGGGAGGCAGCAGUGGGGAAUAUUGGACAAUGGGCUAAAGCCGGAUGCAGCCAUGCCGCGUGUGUGAAGAAGGUCUUCGGAUUGUAAAGCACUGUAAGUUGGGAGGCGGUACCAACAUAAUAAGCACCGGCUAACUACGUGCCAGCAGCCGCGGUAAUUC
rnacentral:rRNA from 1 species